rnacentral:lncRNA from 1 species
UUUGCCCUUUCGGGUGUGCCAUUGUAGCUCUCUUAAAAUCGUCUGAACCAAAGAUCCGGGAAUGAUCGGUCACCAGAGUCAAUAGCUCAGAAGAAGUAACUAAGCCAAAGUGAAGUAUCCCACAAUGGAAAGCACUAUCGACUGAACCUCGUCCGGCUUGUGGUAUGUCACGUUGCAACAUUAUACUGAAAUAGCAAAUGAGGAACGUGAGACCCACACUAAUCCUAGGUGUAUACUCGGGCCUGGGUUUUAGCCCCACUCAUAACACCCACCCCAAAUAACAGAACCACCUGCAGAGGAAGAUGGCAACAUGACAGUAAUGAUGCAUGCACAUAUUUAAUGCAAAUAUAAACAAUGGUUAGAAUAACUAAAUGCAAUAAAU